AAUUAAAUCGGAAGAACCAUUUUAUUGAACUUCAAACUGUUGCAUAAAUAGAAGUUACUCCAACUGAAACAGAAAAUGGACUGCUAAAAAGCUGCUAACAUGCCUGGAAAAUAGGAACAACUAUCACAUGUGAUCUCGAUAAUGACUAAAGAAAAACCUAAUUUCUUAAAAAUCUGCUGAAGACUUUGACUCCACUCCAACAUAUCCUGAGACGCGUACCAACAAGUUGACGCAAAGAGUGCAUAUUCUGAAGAGCAGACAGUUGACAAAUUGGAAAUAGAGUUGGAAGAGAAGGUUGAUGCACAUGGCAUUGAAACGGGUAGGACUACAGAUACCUCCAAUAUUGAUGGAAUUUCAGUACCUCCAAUUCCGAGAAGCAGUGAAAUUGUUCAUGAUGAAAUGGUGAGCGGAAUUGCAUUGAUUUUUAUAGCAUGUACUUGAAGUCCAGUUGAUAGAUUGCCAUCUAUAAGAUUCACUUAUUUGAUAAUCAUUUACUACUGCUGGGCAACUGAGUUCAGUUUUGUGUCUGGUCUGUCUGUCUCUCGUUCCUUUUCACAUUUGAGUUGAAGUUAGUUUCUGUAAAAGAAUUUGACUUGGACUCUAAUCAGCGACUUAAAAACUGGUUAAGACCCUUACAUUCCGACCAUUCGGAUAAGCAUGUUUCAUUUCUGUAAAUUUGUUAAAACAUAACAUUGAACUGGUUUUUAUCUAGAUCUAUCUUUGGCUGAAGUAGGUGCUGGAUAUUGUUAGUGGAUGAAACUGUUUUCUAGACAUGACUUGGAAAAAGAGACCAACUUCAACCCAGAUUUGUUUUGAACCCAAUCUAAUUUUGGUAAGUAUACACGAGAUUUAUGCCUUUUGAACUCCAAUGCAAAAGUUGUGCUGUGAAUUGACAUGGAGUUGGUGCUUUUCAACCUCCUCCAGGUAUAAGAUUGUCAAUAAGCUACCUCAAGUCCGCAAAUUAUUUAUAUAUAUUGAUGGUAGUUGCAAAGGUAGUGUGAGAAAAUUAUUACCGAAUUGUGUAUUUUACUAAUUACAUUGAGACCCUGUUCACAG
rnacentral:lncRNA from 1 species